UAGCGUGGUGGCAGGCCUAACACAUGCAAGUCGAACGGUAACAUUUCUAGCUUGCUAGAAGAUGACGAGUGGCGGACGGGUGAGUAAUACUUAGGGAUCUGCCUUUGUGUGGGGGAUAACCAUUGGAAACGAUGGCUAAUACCGCAUGAUGUCCUUUUCUUAUGAGGGGGACCAAAGGGGGCUUUCGGGCUCUCGCGCAAAGAGGAACCUAAGCGAGAUUAGCUAGUUGGUGUGGUAAAGGGGCACCAAGCCGACGAUCCCUAGCUGGUCUGAGAGGAUGAUCAGCCACACUGGAACUGAGACACGGUCCAGACUCCUACGGGAGGCAGCAGUGGGGAAUAUUGCACAAUGGGGGGAACCCUGAUGCAGCCAUGCCGCGUGUGUGAAGAAGGCCUUCGGGUUGUAAAGCACUUACAGUCGUGAGGAAGGGUUAGUAGUUAAUACCUGCUAGCUUUGACGUUAGCGACAGAAGAAGCACCGGCUAACUCCGUGCCAGCAGCCGCGGUAAUACGGAGGGUGCGAGCGUUAAUCGGAAUUACUGGGCGUAAAGCGUACGCAGGCGGUUAGUUAAGUCAGAUGUGAAAGCCCCGGGCUCAACCUGGGAACUGCAUUUGAAACUGGCUAACUAGAGUGCGGCAGAGGGUGGUAGAAUUUCAGGUGUAGCGGUGAAAUGCGUAGAGAUCUGAAGGAAUACCGAUGGCGAAGGCAGCCACCUGGGCCGACACUGACGCUCAUGUACGAAAAGCGUGGGUAGCAAACAGGAUUAGAUACCCCUGUAGUCCUAGCUGUAAACGAUGGAGACUAGGUGUAGCACGUAUCGACCCGUGCUGUAUCGUAGCCCAACGCGUUAAGUCUCCCGCCUGGGGAGUACGCACGCAAGUGUGAAACUCAAAUGAAUUGACGG
rnacentral:rRNA from 1 species